UACGUAGGGUGCGAGCGUUAAUCGGAAUUACUGGGCGUAAAGCGUGCGCAGGCGGUUUUGUAAGCCAGAUGUGAAAUCCCCGGGCUUAACCUGGGAAUGGCAUUUGGGACUGCAAGGCUUGAGUGCGGCAGAGGAGACUGGAAUUCCUGGUGUAGCAGUGAAAUGCGUAGAUAUCAGGAGGAAUACCGAUGGCGAAGGCAGGUCUCUGGGCUGACACUGACGCUCAUGCACGAAGCGUGGGAGCAAC
rnacentral:rRNA from 1 species